AUUGAACGCUGGCGGCAGGCCUAACACAUGCAAGUCGAGCGAGCGGCGGACGGGUGAGUAAUGUAUGGGGACUGCCCGAUAGAGGGGGAUAACUACUGGAAACGGUAGCUAAUACCGCAUACUAUCGGAUAACCCAUAUGGGAUUAGCUAGUCGGUGAGGUAAUGGCUCACCUAGGCGACGCUCCCUAGCUGGUCUGCGAGGAUGAUCAGCCACACUGGGACUGAGACACGGCCCAUACUCCUCCGGAGGCAGCAGGGGGGAAUAUUGCAAAAUGGGCGAAAACCUGAGGGAGCCAUGCGGCGUGUAUGAAGAAGGCCCUAGGGUUGUAAAGUACUUUCAGUCGGGAGACGUUACCGACAGAAGAAGCACCGGCUAACUCCGUGCCAGAAGCCGCGGUAAUAC
rnacentral:rRNA from 1 species